rnacentral:tRNA from 3 species
GGGACUGUAGCUCAGAAGGUUAGAGCGGUGGAUUGAAAUCCCACAGGUCGGGCGUUCGAUUCGCCCCGGUCCCACCA